rnacentral:tRNA from 1 species
CGCGGGAUAGUUCAGUUGGCAGAACACCGGACUCAUAAUCCGGAUGUCGUCGGUUCGAAUCCGACUCCCGCAACCA